UACGAAGGUGGCAAGCGUUGUUCGGAUUUACUGGGCGUACAGGGAGCGUAGGCGGUUGGAUAAGCCCUCCGUGAAAUCUCCAGGCUUAACCUGGAAAGUGCAGAGGGGACUGUUCAGCUAGAGGAUGGGAGAGGAGCGCGGAAUUCCCGGUGUAGAGGUGAAAUGCGUAGAUAUCUGGAGGAACACCGGUGGCGAAGGCGGCAUCCUGGACCAAUAUUGACGCUGAGGAGCGAAAGCCAGGGGAGCAAACGGG
rnacentral:rRNA from 1 species